UCUCCAGAAACAUCUUCGGUAGAAACAGAAUCAUAUUCAGCACAUCAAAACCAAGAUGCACUCCAAGUUGUAUCUACUCAGCUUAUAGAGUCUGCUAUAUCUAGAUCUGCCGACAUAAGAACCUCCUCUCAAUCAGUUACUCUUCCCAUUACAAUUUCCCAGCAUGACAGUUUAACAAGCAUCAUUCCAUCAAGCAACUUUUUACCAACAACAACUUCCUCACAGAUCAACAGCUCAGUGACACUGUCAGCUACUUCUGGUCACAAUCCAAUGCAACAGAUCACAGUUGACUCAGAUGAUGACAUAGUGUCAUGUUAUGAUGCUGCCUAGCUCCUACGUCAUCACUGAACACGAACUUUGCAAGGGCCCCCUCUAUGCCUUGAAGUAUCCUGAGAAAACACAUUCUCCCAGGCUGUGGCAUUUUACAAAUAAAGCCUCUCAGAUACAAAUGCCCAGACCACUUCAAAUUCGUUUUGACGGUGAAGAUGGAGUUGAUGCUGGAGGAUUGAAAAAGGAGUUCUUUCAAGAGUUCUUCAAGCUUGUGUUUGCUCCUGAAAGAGGUCUAUUUGAAGGACGCCCAAGAAUGUUAUGGACAGUGCAUAAUAUCACAGCUUUCAGAACCAGAUUAUUCAAAAUAGUUGGUACAACACUGGCACAUUGCUUUGCACAUUGUGAAAUAGGCAUGCCUUUUCUGGCUGAGCCACUUGUCACAUACUUGUUGAGUGAAGAUGACUGCAUCCCCAGAUUACAAUAGAAGACAUGCGAGAAUAGGACAAAGUGCAUCGCACUUGAGAUGCAAUGAGCAAACACAAUAGCUGUAUUUCAGCAACUGUCAGUGAGACUAGAUGUCAUUGAUGCAGUCUCUGCAAGUGGAUGGAUGCAUAAUAUAUCGUUUGAGCAACGUGAGGCAAUUUUGCAAAGCCUUGUAGUGAAUGAGCUGGUGUUCAAGCGCAAAACAGCAAUUGAGCACCUCAGAGAAGGCCUUGCUUCAAUGAACAUUCUACAUCUCUUGCAGUCCAAAAGACAUGUACGAUGUAUCUUCUUGUGUUCCAAGAAACACACUUGACACUGGAGAAAAUGCAAAAAAUACUGAGUAUUAACAGGCCAGCGACAGAAGCACAGACAAGAGCUCAGAUAUUUUUCCAGCAAUUCUUAAGUAACGACAAAGAAAUUGUCGUCCGAAACGCCUUCAGAUCUUAAGAGGAAGGUCAAGCUUGAUAGACUCAUUUCCAACAUGGCAACCACACAGUUGUUCAACAGCUUGGCAACCACUACUCUAAUUAGCUAAAGAGAAGUAACGUUGGAUGGUGGUUGCGUUCUAGUUAUGUAAUAGAAAGAAGUAACGUUGGAUGGUGGUUGCGUUCUAGUUAUGUAAUAUUGGUUAACUAAUUGAGUCGUGUCGUGUUGCACUGUUGAUUUAUUUAGCUAAUUAGCCUUUGAGGUCUUUUUUAGUCAUGUUUCUAAUAGCUGUUAGAAUCAUA